UACGGAGGGUGCGAGCGUUAUCCGGAAUUACUGGGUUUAAAGGGUGCGUAGGCGGCUCGGUAAGUCAGGAGUGAAAGUUUGCGGCUCAACCGUAAAAAUUGCUUUUGAUACUGCCGGGCUAGAAUCAGGAUGAGGUCAGCGGAAUGUGGCAUGUAGCGGUGAAAUGCAUAGAUAUGCCAUAGAACACCUAUUGCGAAGGCAGCUGGCUAGACCUGUAUUGACGCUGAGGCACGAAAGCGUGGGGAGCGAACAGG
rnacentral:rRNA from 1 species